rnacentral:snoRNA from 1 species
CAGGGCUCGGAAACACCAAGAACCUGACCAAUGCCAGGACCCCAGCUAAGGAAACAGGGUUGCUCUCCAUGUGGGCGACUCUGUGCCGAAAGCAUGGGAACAGCC